rnacentral:lncRNA from 1 species
CAGACCAGGCCGAGCACCUUCCAAAGGGGAGGGUCUAACUGAGCAAACAAAGUUGCACGCCACACCACAACCUGCCCCUCCCCUCCCUUUAGCCCCCAAGUCGAAUCCCCGGCGAAACUCACUUGCACUGCGGGUGCCCUCUGGCCCCCACCCCAUCAUCGCGCAACACACCCCCUUCAACAGGCGCGCCCACCCUUUCAUUGCCCUGCGCCCCGAGCGGUCCCACCGCCCGGCAAAACACUGAGCAAGCGGCUGCGCUCACCUUGCUUGACACACUUGAGCCGGAGGGGGUCCUUGCAGUGUUUGAUCACGGCCAGCACGUCCCUGAUGGUGAGCCCCGCCACGGGGGUCUCGUUCACCUCCAGCAGCAGCUCCUCCGACACCAACUUGCUGCCGCUCUCAUAGGCCACCUUGCCGGGCUUCACCUCCCCCAGUAAUGUCUUACAAUAACAGAAUGCAGGAGAGCACAUAUCAAUGAAGAAAAGACAAAAUGUACUUAUCCAUGAAGCUGAGGUUAAGAAACCAGUGUCUUCAAGAGCCAAGGACAGCACUGGGUCUGUGCAGAGUUGAGAGAUGGUGAUGACAUGUGGUUUCCAGCAUUCCUCACCCAGUCCAGGGACACUGUGGGUGUGCCCAGCUUAAGUCCAGUAACUGGAAAUACAAGCCCAAGUUCUGGAGAGUUUGAGCUGCAGAGAUAUAUGUGGGAACACUUUGAACCUUGACUCAUUGGCCAUAACCAGCAGAGUGGAAAAUACAAGAAGAGAAAAAAACAUUGAACUGCGAUUUUAUAACAUCCUUUACUCGGCAGAGAGAAGAGGAAACACCAGGAAAGAAAACUGUAUUACGAUGUGAAAACUUAACGUUGAGAAAUUCAGGCAUCUUGGGGUUAGUGAGGAGAAGUUUUAGGGGCUUAGAUUCUUCAAAACACAUGUACAGAAAUGCAUAUUUCAUCUGAUAUCAAAUGACAUUUAUAGUGCUAAUCUUUACCUCAAGACUUCACAUCUUUUGGUGAUUGCAUCUUUUAGGUUUAUAGCAGCUAAGUUUGCAUGAAAACACCAGGGCUGUUUCAUUUCAGUCAAGAAUUAAUGUUCAUUGAUUGUGCUUCUGCAUUUCACGUAACUAUUGUAGAAUUUGUUUUAGUUUUAUGAGGGAAUAAUUGGUCCAACUUCUAUAUAACUCAGGAAUUUACUCUCAAACAACACUGUCAAUUAGUUACUUAUCUCUCUGGAAAUGAUCUGGGAACAUGGAGAGGAAAGGGAGGAAGGGGCAAAAUCUGACCACUUAAAUCUAAGCAUAUUAGAUCAUUUUAUGCUAGAAAGUCCUGAAUGAUGUGACUUUUGUUCUUGUAAAACACCUCUUUCCAUAGAUUCAUGGCCCAAACAGUAUAUAAAGAGUGGGGAAGGAACUGCAUUUGCAAAU